CAGCCGCCGCGGUAAUACGUAGGUGGCAAGCGUUGUCCGGAAUUAUUGGGCGUAAAGGGCUCGCAGGCGGUUUCUUAAGUCUGAUGUGAAAGCCCCCGGCUCAACCGGGGAGGGUCAUUGGAAACUGGGAAACUUGAGUGCAGAAGAGGAGAGUGGAAUUCCACGUGUAGCGGUGAAAUGCGUAGAGAUGUGGAGGAACACCAGUGGCGAAGGCGACUCUCUGGUCUGUAACUGACGCUGAGGAGCGAAAGCGUGGGGAGCGAACAGGAUUAGAUACCCCGGUAGUCCCUGUCUCUUAACC
rnacentral:rRNA from 1 species